rnacentral:rRNA from 1 species
UUUAAUUUGAGAGUUUGAUCCUGGCUCAGGAUGAACGCUGGCGGCGUGCCUAACACAUGCAAGUCGAACGAAGCAAUCAGAAUGAAAUUUUCGGAUGGAUUUCUGGUUGACUGAGUGGCGGACG